ACGUAAACACGUUUGUGCGGAAAAACGUUUAACACUACAGCCGGUUAGUGUUGUUGUCGUUAAGAUAAUUAAAACCAACAACAACAAAAUAAACAAUUAUAAACACACAGUUGGUUGCAAGAAGCAAGUGUUUUCAUUAUUUACUUUUAACGAAUAACGAGAGCAAAAUUUUGUUUGAAACGAACAAUUGAAUAAACAGAAAACGUGCUGCAGCGGCUGCUAGCACUUCCACCAAGUCUGGGCUGCCAGAGUAUAGUCGUACUAUGUUUGAUAAACUGAGGGUAGGUCGGUUUUACGAAAGAAAGAAUUUUUGUCUGACGAUUUAGUUUUUGCAUAAACAAAACGGACUGAUUGCGUGUGUGUGUGUGUGUGUAGGUUGGAGUGGUUAGAAUAAGUUGAACAAAAAUUCCAAUGGGCGCAUUUAGUCGCGUUGCAAACGUCGACACAACCGGUCGUGUUAAACGGAGCUUUUGGGAAUAUAUUAUAUAAGUGAAACAUUUUUAACUUGGAGGAAAUAAAAAUCUUAUAAGAAUUUUUUAAAGAAAUAUUUAAAGUGUUUUGAUAUAAAAAUUUAACAAUUUUAUUAAAUUUUAAAUAAAACAAAAAAGAUUUUUUCGAAAAUAAAAAUUUAAUUACUUUCUAACUCACUUUUAGGGUUAAUAAUUUGCAAAAAAAAAACAUCUUGAUUUAACAACACUGAUUCAAGGUUGUAUUUGAUAACAGCACGUGCUGCUAACGGUAUUUUUCUUGUUUAUUUGUUUGUCGUGUUAAUUCCUUUCGCCUGUGUUUGUAAGUGUGUGCAAAUUGGUUUCGCGUGAGCAAAUUAUAACGUUGUGUGAGUUUUGUUGUUUACAUUUUGUUGUUAUUUUUGCCUUAAUCAUUAUUUCAAUCUAACAAAAGAGUAAUAAAACAAACGGAAAACAAAAUCAACGACCAAAACCAAUUAAUUUGAAUUAAUUCUCAAGCGUUUAAUGAAAUUAAAAUUUCAAAUGAAUGAUUAAAAAAAUACAGAAAAAUGUGGGUGUUUAAAGAUUUUAGUUCGUUUUAAAAAGCCAUAAUUAAAAAAGGAUUUUUUGGUGUAAAAUACAAUUUUUAAAUUUGUGUCACUAGUCUGCAAAUUAAUGGAAUUACUGGAAUUGGAUUUAAAUUGUAAAAGAGAAAUUAUCAUUUAGAAGAUCUCCAUACGAUCUUUGUGAAAGUUUGUUAUGGUAAAUACUUCUUUGACUUCAAUUAAUUUACCUUCAAUUUUCUAAAAUUGUAAAUACUUCUUUGACUUCAAUUAAUUUACCUUCAAUUUUCUAAAAUUAUGGCUCUCGACGGUAAAACGAUUAUAAAAGAAGAAAUAACAGACAAAGACGCCUAUGAGGCUUCAGCAUCAGCUACACGUAGAACUAAAG